UCAAGCUUCCGUUUUCCUGCACCCACAGCCCGAGGGAUAACGAAAGCUAUACAGCUGUCUCGUUUCGAAAGGCUGCGUCCUUGUGUCCUCCCUAGACGGCGCAACAUUCAACGCGGCGGUUGAUUAACAAGCUAUAUUGCGCUGUCAACAUGAAUAUUUCUCUCAAACACACGCAUCGAUUCACGUCAGAAGACCUUCGUUAAACCCACAGAGACGUUGUUUGAUCGAUGGAUGUACUUUUUGGACCUUCAAGUCAACUACCAUCCACUGCCAUUCUACCGCUUGGAAGUAAAAUCAUACCUGGGACUGCAUUGUUCUUCCAAAAGAAAAUCAUAUUCGUUUAGGAUGCAUUGACGAUGGCGCCACUGUACAGAUGCUAAUCACGCCGUUAAAUAUAUGUGACAUCUGCGCUGAACGUGGCGGCGCCGAGGCAGGCUUUAGUCAACGCUAAUCAGUGGACGGGCUUGUUCAACGUUGGAGUUUGACGAUGAGGAUAUGCUUGAAUCUGAUUGGUCAUAUGCGUCCACAUCUGCCUCCGCUUCGGAAUUCUAAAAGAUGCUUACGCAUCAUGGGGCCCUGGGGAAAGUACAUCAGCAUCUCUCCGAGCGACAACACAUGGCCCUGUGAAAACCUUAGACCAAAUCUCUGCAACCCUCCUCCACUAUCCAAACAAAUCACCCUCCCCAUCAUCUCUUGGUGUCCCGCAGAGUACCGUCCAGCUCCGGAUGAUGUUGAAUGACUGGGAUGUGGAUCUGGAUGAACUGGAUGAAAGCGUUCCUCAAAUUGUUUCACAGCACAGGAGAAUUCAGCGUCAAAAUUGCCACUGGACAGCGUUCCACCCUUUGAACUAAUGAGACCGUAAGCAGCACCGGCGAUGUCCUCUCACAGCUUUAGUUCCUCUGUGUCAGCAAUGCCACGACCUUUGAUCAACCCCUCAUCCAGUGCGCAAGGGCCCAUAUGUCUACGCCUACCAUGUUGAUUCCAAGGCUCAUGCGGGUCCAGCAUGAUAAGGAGAACAAGGAGCAGAGGGAAAAGGCAAAACUUUUAACCAUGGCACUUUGUGGCCAAAUUGCUGCCGUUUCUGUACGGAGGUGGGUGUGGAAGCGAAAUCGGAGCCAGGAGUGGUGGGAUCGUGAUGUAAAUAACUUAUUUCCAAAUAAAUAACACAAUAUGAGGAUGUCAAGGGAUACUUUUAAUUAUAUCUGCAAGCGCCUCUCCAAAGGACACUCACAGCAAGACACUCCCACUCACACAAAUGCGGAUCAAAUCUAGAUCUUCAUUGUCCAUCCACUAACUUAAGUCCCUGCUCUCCUCCAUGUUGUUACGAUUAAAUAUGUGACACGGUAGGUUGCACUGGCCCAGAAUUUUGACGCGGGUCGAUGUAGAAUGACGUAAAAGUUGCAUGAAUUCCGAGAUGACCGUUCAGACUUAGGUCGCAUUGCGAAACAUCAGACCUGUAUCUGAUUUAGGACCACAUAUGGAAGUGGCUCAGAUCAGAUUUAAAAAGAUCGGAUUCCAAGUGGUUUGUCCUGUUCACACUGACAUGCAGUAAACAGAUCUGGAUCAUAUGAGAAAAAAACAGAUCUGGUGGCAGUGCGAAUGUGAGGCUGCAGUCUUUGAUACCUUCAGAAGGAGGGAUUGAGAAACACUUACCUCUUCCCAAAAAAACAAUGGUAGACUUGCAUUUGCAGAUGUAGUAUUCGUGGUAUAUGCUUAAAUGUGUAAGCAGAGUUUAAGCCCUUCUGGUGUCCUAAUCCCCCCUUUUUUUAGACAUUAUGUCUCUCUAGGGAUGUAAAACCUGAUUGAACAUAUACUUGUUUAAUUAGUGACACAUUUUCAAGUUAAGUAUGGCAACAGUACAACAUUUUUAUGAAUGAAUCCCUUAUUAGCCAAUCCAUGUGGGCAUAGUAAGCCUGAUGACAUCCUCCAUAGCAAGAAGGUCAAAAUCUGCGAUGGGCAGCAAAAAUUAACUAAAAACAAGACUUAAAACAAAACACUUCCAACAAGAAGGCAAAACAGGAGUACAAAGUAACUUAAAAUGAACUAACCAAACAACACGGCAUGCAGGACAGGACUGGGGAACUCGGUCGUAGACUAUUCCAAAAGGACACUGUAACGAGCAAGGUGGGAUGAGAUCCGUGAGGAAACGACUCGAGGCCGGUGACGCGAGUGAUAAUGAGUGUCAGCUGCGCGUUGCACCUGUCUCGCAUCUCUCACGGAGGAGAUCGGAGGCAUAUAAGGACUAGCGGCAGGAGUGUACGACGAGAGAGGACCAGGCCUGGACUUUGUUAUGUUUAAUUAUGUUUGUGUACUUUCAAUUUUUUGUUUGUUUAUUUUAUUAAAACAUUGGUUUAAUAUUCGCCGGUUCCCGCCUCCUUCUUCCCAUUACUUGAACUUGUUACAGUGGUGCCGAAACUCGGGAGGAAGAAGGGACAUGCUGUCGGAGAAGCCUCGCUGCUGAGGCGGAUCACGGUGCUGUGGAGGUCGGGCAGCGUGGAAGAGCAAAGACCGCGAGGGGCUGCCCGAGGCGAUAGUUCUGGAGCGAGGAUACAGCAGGUGGAAUGGAGAGCUCGCUGCCGUGCUCCUAGGUUGAGGUGGGGUGGCUGCUGUCCGAGAGGUCAUUCGCUGUGGGCCAGAGCCUACUGCCGUCUGCCAUGAAGGGGAGUCGCAGGGAACGGGGGACUCGCUACCGACCGCCCUCAGCCGGAGGACCCAUCGCCAGGGGGCGGAUCAAUCCUUUCACAGAGUGUCCACAACUACCGCAUGGCAUCGCGAGGAAAAGCCUCUCAGCUGGCCGAGGAGCAUUACUCAGUUUUAAAGAGAGCUGUCAUUUUCCUUCUUGAAUUAUUAUACAAAGAGUGUAAGCAUGUUUGCAAGGAUAAAACAAAGGUUUGAUCUUAAAGUCUAGAUAAACACAUCACAGUAUAUUUUGCAGCGCACGUAAGAUUCUAAAAGAACAGGUGUGGUCAGACUCAGUUCAUUUACAUUUAGUCAUUUAGCAGACGCCUUUUAUCCAAAGGGACCUACAAAGAGUUAAGGGAGCCAUAAGCGAUAUGUCAUACAGGAGCAAUAAUACAGUAGGUGCCAAUACAAAGUUACUGGUUUCAAAAGCUAGACCACUACCUGUUGAGAGAAAGAUUUUUUCUUUGUCUGUCAAGUAUUCACAGAAGAGAUGGGUUUUAAGUAGUUUUUUGAAUGUGGUGAGAGAUUUGGUUGACCGGGCCGAGUGAGAAAGAAUGUUCAUAAGUGUUUGUAUAAUAUAGCACAUGUUUGUUUGCCUACUUGGUGAGAUAAAUUGAUGCAUGA